GCCCUUACGGCUCCAGUAACACGUAGUCAACCUGCCCUAGAAGACACAGACAACCCCGGGAAACUGGGAUUAAUCCGUGAUAGGUCAUCUCAUCUGGAAGGAGAGAUGGCUUAAAGGGGUGCGAGAGCUUCUUUCUUGUACUCGCUCUAGGAUGGGACUGCGGCCGAUCAGGCUGUUGGUGGGGUAAUGGCCCACCAAACCUGUAACCGGUACGGGCCUUGAGAGAGGGGGCCCGGAGAUGGACACUGAGAGAAGGGUCCAGGUCCUACGGGGCGCAGCAGGCGCGAAACCUUCACAAUGCGCGAAAGCGUGAUGAGGUUAAUCCGAGUGGUCCCCGCUGAGGGGAUCUUUUGUUGGCUCUAAAACGGCCAGUGAAUAAGGGGAGGGCAAGUCUGGUGUCAGCCGCCGCGGUAAUACCAGCUCCUCGAGUGGUCGGGGCGAUUAUUGGGCCUAAAGCAUCCGUAGCCUGUUCUGUAGGUCCGCUGUUAAAUCCAACGGCUUAACCGUUGGCCCGCAGCGGAUACCGCAGGACUAGGAGGCGGGAGAGGUGGACGGUACUCCACGUGUAGGGGUAAAAUCCUUUGAUCCGUGGAAGACCACCAGUGGCGAAGGCGGUCCACCAGAACGCGCUCGACGGUGAGGGAUGAAAGCUGGGGGAGCGAACCGGAUUAGAUACCCGGGUAGUCCCAGCCGUAAACGAUGCGAGCUAGAUGAUCCGGUCGCAAAUCGCGAUCGGAGUGUCGCAGGGAAGCCGUUAAGCUCGCCGCCUGGGGAGUACGGUCGCAAGACUGAAACUUAAAGGAAUUGGCGGGGG
rnacentral:rRNA from 1 species